AACGAACGCUGGCGGCAUGCCUAACACAUGCAAGUCGAACGAGACCUUCGGGUCUAGUGGCGCACGGGUGCGUAACGCGUGGGAACCUGCCCUUAGGUUCGGAAUAACUCCCCGAAAGGGGUGCUAAUACCGGAUAAUGUCUUCGGACCAAAGAUUUAUCGCCUUUGGAUGGGCCCGCGUUGGAUUAGCUAGUUGGUAGGGUAAAAGCCUACCAAGGCGACGAUCCAUAGCUGGUCUGAGAGGAUGAUCAGCCACACUGGGACUGAGACACGGCCCAGACCCCCCGGGGAGGCAGCAGGGGGAAAUAUUGACCACUGGGCGAAGGCCUGACCCAGCCUCGCCGCGUGAGUAAAAAGGCCUUUGGGGUUGAAAAUCUUUUUUCCCCGGGAUUAAAAUCACGGUCCCGGGAAAAAAAGCCCCGCCUAACUCCGUC
rnacentral:rRNA from 1 species